rnacentral:rRNA from 1 species
UACGUAGGGUGCGAGCGUUGUCCGGAAUUACUGGGCGUAAAGAGCUUGUAGGUGGUCUGUCGCGUUGUUCGUGAAAUCUCACGGCUUAACUGUGAGCGUGCGGGCGAUACGGGCAGACUAGAGUACUGCAGGGGAGACUGGAAUUCCUGGUGUAGCGGUGGAAUGCGCAGAUAUCAGGAGGAACACCGGUGGCGAAGGCGGGUCUCUGGGCAGUAACUGACGCUGAGAAGCGAAAGCGUGGGGAGCGAACAGG